rnacentral:tRNA from 1 species
GGGGCUGAGGCUCAGUGGUAGAGCACUCACCUAGCAUGUGUGAGGCACUGGGUUCUAUCCUCAGCACCA